CAGCACCCGAGCACUCAACGCAAUGCCCAAGAACAAUGGUCCAGUCACAGGCUGGUCACAUAGAACUAGUCCUCCUAAUAGGAUGAAUCAGGCAAGACCACAUUUAAUAUCUUGUCAGUUAUUUAUUAUGUGUCAUUCUAAAGACUAGCACAUUUACAGCAUACAUGGCUUUGAAUGACCUAAGAAUAUAUAAAACAGUAACUGUAUGUUUAUAUAUAUAUAUAUAGUAAUACUGCCCAAAACAAAUAAAUAAAGGUAUCAUAAUGCACUAAGCUUGGCAAAUACAAUUGUGUAGGGACAAAACUGUAUUAUACAAUAUUUUUACAUCUUUAAAGGAAACUAAAGGCAACUGUGCUCUGUAGGAGCUCUGACAGAAUCCACAUUACAUUCCCAGUUUUCCAUAGAUCUCUUUUCUUUUUAGAUGGGGAGGCAUUAUAAGGAACACUGGACGGAACCUCUAUUUUACGGUAACCUGUAAAACUGCCUUCCCUGCACCUCUGAAAACUCAAAGCUCCUACAGAAGAGAGGAGCUGCUUGCCUCUGUGCAACACACCCUCACCCUGCAGGCACUGGAAGCGUGUGAUGCUGCUGGAAGCCCAGGAACGAUGCCUUCAGAGAGAAUACUGAAACCUGAACCUUUUCUAUAGCAUUUGCCAAAUCUUACAGUUUUAUGGUGACCCAUUACAUAGAGCAAAAAUUGGGAAAAUAAUUCAUAUAAAGGUGUCACAUGCAAAACUGCUGACAGAUGAUCAACAUUUGCUAUAUUCCCUUUGAUGAGUGCAGAUAUUUAAUGCUCUCCAGACAAAAAAGAUCUGAAAACGAUGUGGGUAAUAUUUAUUUUUAAAAAGCAAGGAGAUUUUUUAAAAGUUAAAAUGAGAAAAGACGGAACUAAAAAUUUACAAAUUAAAUGAGAUGGUGGAGAGGUGAAAGGGUAAAUCAGCCAUAUUGAAAACAAACUGUCUGUGAACAGAAAUUGACACUUAAAAAGGAGAAUCUGAUACCAGCAGCAGCCACCUGUGCAGUGGGUUUGGCAGGCAGGAGCUUCUCUGCCUCCUGCCUGCCACGGUGAACUCAGCUUUGAGGGAGCAGCACAGAGCUUCGUCCUUCAUUAAAGUGUCCUUCACAGACAUUUUCCUCCCUGCAGGCAUCGGGAGACAGCAGGCGCUGCUUGCAUGCUGACUUCUGAGUAGGAGGGGGUCUGGAAGGUCAUCCAGUUCCACCCUACCUGAUGCCCACCCCCUCUGUGUUCCUGCCAAUAAGCAGUCCUCCCCAUGCCUCAGCACCCCUGGCCCAAGUUUGUUACAUGUUUCUAAAGGAACCAGAAGAAUCUCUAGGCUUUUAGACAUAAGAAUUUCUAAGAGGUUCACAAAUCAUUAGGAUCAGCAUCAUUAAUAUGUGCCAUAUGUAUUUCUUUUACAACCUUUUCAAGAACAUGUAAACAUCAUAAACAGAAUCAAUAAAACAUAUAAACUCCUAAGAAACAAACUCUGCUAUGUGCAGAUAAGACUCAUCAUCAUCUUAUAAAAGAUGACCAGACAAAAUUUUCUAUGAAAUUCCUAAGUUUUAUGGCCCAUAAAUCCCUUUCAAAAUCUCAUUUGAGGAGAAUAAAUUUCAACUGUUUCUCAAUAGUCAUCUUACAUAAGAAUGAGAAUAAGUAACAAUUACUGCAAACCUAAAAAUAAGACACUUUCAUCAGACAUUCAAACAUGAUUGUACUGUCUUUUCAAAGAUAAAUUGGAAAUCCUGCAAAAAAAAAUUUUUUUUCUGAAAAUAUUUAGGUUCCUACUAUCUCUAUGGUCAUAAAUUCCCCAUGGGAGUGUUGACAUGCCACAUCUGAGGCCCUACAUUAACAUCUAGAGAAGAAGGGGAGAUGUGUCCUCGGCGUGAGGGAGCCUCGGCAGGGAGCUUCAGAGAACAGGAGACAGGCUAAAGGGACCUUACUGCUGGCUUUGUGUCUCCAGCAGACUCCCUGUUCUGUAACUCAUAAGGGACAGAAAAAAGAGUGGCCCCAACUAUGUGGGGUACCUUGCAGGUGUUACCUUCUAAUAAAGUCUUAUCUCCCGUUGAUUUAUCAAUCUUUCUUUCAACUUCUUCAGGUGGUAGUGUAGAUAGGAUAAUUCACUAGAACCCGUUAUUCUCACUGCAUGAGAUAGUGCUAGCUUCUUUCCCCAAAUAACAUUUAUUGGUAUGCCUAGGAUCCAAUUAUUUAAUUUAUUAUUUACUGUUUUACAUUCAGAUUUUUACAAAGUGGAUUGUAAUUCAAUGGUUACUUUUGAGUUACUCUGUAGAAAAAUAAGUGAGCAAGCAGGCAUUUGAAAAAGUCUUCUAGCAUUUCAGACAAACCUAGCUUGAUUCAUGUAGGUAACUAUUGAUGAGAUCUGUGUAGUUACAGCCAAAGGCUAUUUAAAUAGGCAGUUGUUACUAUCCACACUAUUGAGCCAAACAUUACCUCCUAUUGAUUCCAAUGGGGAAAAAAACCCAAAAAACAAAAAACAUGCUCCAGAGACUCUUUAGUGAAAUGUUUUUUUUUAAAAAACCACAAAAAAUAAAAACCAAUCCUUCAGGUCUUCUUGAAGAAUUCAUAUAUGACACUAGAGGGUACCCACAUUUAUUAUGUAACAGCUAAUUAGAGGAAACCGUGUGUUCACGUUUCAACUUUUCCGUAAGUCCCUUCGGGAGGCCUGUAAUGCUUGGGGAAAGCCUUCAGCUGCAGGGAAUUAAAUGCAUAUUUGCGACUUCCAACAUUCUUCAUUGUAUUUUCUCUUCGACAACCCUCACUGGGGAAAAAACAAGCACAAGAAAUGACGGCAGUAAAAAAGGAAAAAAGAAAAGACUUAAACUAAGAUGAAAUGAACUGAUCAUUUUCAUAACAUUAAAAAAAAGAUUAAUUUAAAUGGGUGCCGGACUCAUUUACAACAAAUACAUACGUAAGAUGGCAGGUUUCUGAACAAGGCAAUUAAGAAGCACAGAGAUGGACACAUGCUGCGUGGGGCUGUGAGUUGUGCGUUCCUAAAAGCAGCACUGUAUCUAAGUGGAAGCAAACUUUUUCCAAGUGAAUGGUUUCAUGUAGCUCAUGUCUUUUGGGGUUCUAUCAUAACUUGUGGUUCAAAGAUUCCCUCACAUAGCAAAUGAAGUGGAAAAAGAAAUAUUACUACUCUUACUAAAGCUGCACUUCAGAGAUGUAAGGAGCUGGACUUUUCUGUAUUAGCAAGAGCUGUAAUCACAUCAAAUUCAAAAUGCUGACUUUCCUUGCAGAAUUCAACAUGUAGCAAAGCCAGCUGGCUAGGAAGGCUGUUCUGGUCUGCUGUCUCCUGGAGGACAGUUGUUCUGGGUGCCAGGUAAUCCAAUGGGUUCAUGCACUGUCUGCAGAGCGGCCUGGCAAUCAGGGCUGGAAUGUUAUGAGGGAGGGAUCUCACCAAGUUCUGGUAGCAGCCAGCCACCCUUCCACAGGUGGGCUGCCCCCAUGUGUUCCCUCUUGCACAGGUGCCACUGAGCCAGUGAGAGCCCACAGGUGCCCUUCCCUAGAGAACUCACUACCAGCGUCAUCCUCAGCUGCAUCUGAUGGAGGGUUGCCAUGGCAAUCCAGGGGGCAAAAACAAACACUGCAUGGGAGGAUGAGCAGCCAGGGGGCCUCACCUACUCAGUGAGCGCGUCCGGGCAGUUCUCUGGGAAAUGUUCAGGUGUAGACAUAAAACUAACCAGCAAAAGCGAUUUUAAACAUAAAUGACUUCCCACAGCACAGUAUAACUUGAUGGUUUUAUGCUGUUCUAAGACUAGCAGUGAAAUCAACUAGUUAUCAAAUUUAGUACAAAAUUCCCCUUAUGAGAUGUAAAAUUUGCAGUUACCAAGAAACAGUGAUUUUUUUAAAAAUUCAAAUUGUAUGAAGACCAUUAUGUCACGCAUUUUAAAAAAAAAUCAGUGGCAAUUGCUCAAGCCUUUUAAAGUGAAAAUGACAGUCUCAUUAUCAAGAACAUGUAAAAUACUUUUGGUAAGACAGUAAUUUUUAUUCAAAAGCUAAGCUCCGAUAGUUUAGAAAAGUAUCCACCUGGUUGUUAUAACUAAUUUGGUAACUUGGAUAUGCUUUCUUGUCACGGAGCCUCAAGGCCUCAGCUAGAUGUGUGUCAUCUGAGCUGAACACCUAGGCCACAGGAAGCCCCCUGGAGUAAGUAACAAUCAUGUUUGCCUAACAUUCAUUCAGUAAUCAAAAACGUACUUCCACUUAAAGCAGAAGCUAUAGGUUCCUAUACACAGUUAAUCUCCUUUAAUCUUUGGAAACUCUUACAUUAAUGAACUACUUCAGAUAUGGCUUCUCCAUUUAUAUAGAAAUGUACAAACUGCUUAAAAACCACCUGUCACUAGUAAAUGCUAAACUGCCGUGAGGAGCGAGGCAGAAUAAUUUGUGAACUUUGACAUUAUCUUUUAUUUACAUGUUAAAGGAGUUAAUGCCUAGUUUAGCUGGCUGAACACAUCAGAUGUGAAAUUCUAAUAAAGAUUAUACUUUCAUUUCAACGUAGUUUUCAAAUCAAAUUGUAUUUACUUUCCCCCAGAUGUUUGAAUUUGCAAUAUCCGGCUGAUGUGGCUGAUCCACAUGCCAACACUGUCAUCCCACCACCUGCCUGUGCGGACGAGCUGGCAAGAGGGCCCGGGGCGAGGCAUGCAGAGGUGGCGAGGACAGCCUGUGCUAACUGGGGUUUCCUGCUGCAGAGGCCAAGCUGCUGCCCUAAGGCAGGACACCUCCACUGAUCACAUCGGCUGCAUACUUUUUAGGAACCAAUGGUACAUGUUGAGGUGGUCUUAGAUUUUAGCAAGAGGGACUUAAUUAUUUCAAAGCUCCAUGAUUACUUUUAUUAUAUCAAUAAAUUAUUUCUUUUCAAGGGCAUCCAUUUUUGAAAUGAAAAUUAAAAUGGAAACCCCAAGUGACAGAUAAUUUUAGGGAAUCCUCUAGUUUUCCGGUUCCAGUGGGGUCUUCCACUUGAGAACUCAUCUGCAGGCAUCAGUAUCUUAGUGAUUCUAUGGCUGAGCAUGGGGUGGCUGCUACUCCUGUCACUUUGUGGAGGGAAAACAGGUCAUUGUGUUAAAAUCUCUGCUGGAAUCAAGCCAUAGGCGUAAAUAGUGACUGUCACACUAGUUGAAAAAACUUAUACAACAAUUUUAUAAGACCAUCCAAAGAGAACCACUCCUGAUUGUGGUUUCCCUAACUUCAGAAAGCUGAUUUAAUCUGAACACCUAGAGCUGGCUGACAUCAACAAUGCCUCAGCACUACUACAGUAUAAGCAACUAAAAACCAUCACUAAAUGUCAAUGACCCCUUUCUUGAAUCAUCUCCCCAUCUUUGUUUCAUCCUGCCUAUUUCUCACUAAAGCAAGUAAGAUUUUGCAUACGUAUUUGGCCUGAUUUCAUGAGUAAAAGGCCUUAGUGACAUUAAAAUUCAGCAUAAAGGGAGAGCAACUGAGUUUCUUUUCUCAAAUACUUUAAGUUUAAAAAGCCAAAACCAACCCACCACCUAGGCUAAUCUCAUGGUGUCCUUUUGGUAGCUCUCCAAGUGCACAGGCGGCAUACUGAUUUUCACCCAGACCCUGGAGGAGAGAAACAAAGAACCUUAUCUCGCUCCCUUUGGUCUCAUUUCUCUCAGCCCACGGGCCAAGCCCACAUGGGCAGAAAGGUGUGGUGACAAUCAAGGAUCAGGCCGUGGUGUCCUUGAGGCCCCCUGGGAGGGGCUCCUCGGCCUGGCCACAGCUUCUCUGUGCUAUGGGGCAGGGUCCUGGGAGGCGUCCCUGGAGGGUGCCACAGAAGCAUCCUUGAGCCCUGGGAGAGGGAGGGGUGCUGUCUGCAGUCAGAGGGCCUUCCUCUGUGCAUGGGCUCUGCCUAGCCACUAGUCCUGCUGUGGAGGUGGGAGUGCACGUGAGUCACCACUACAGGCAUUGGAACCACGUUACCAGGAGCAGGACCAGGAAGCUGUGUAAUGGGAACUGAAUGAGGCUGUGGACUCUGCUCUCUUGCUUUCAAAUAAAGCAAACAAGAUGGUCUUAGUUGAAGUGCACGCCUCAAUGUGAAAGAGGUAAAGUGGCAAACAUGCCUUUCAAAUAAUCACAGGCUGGACAGGACACUGCCCAGGGACUAUUGUCACGCUGCCACAGCUUACACCACCCAUGAGCUGGCGUUUGGUGACUUCAGACUCCCUACUGAAGGCCGCCAGGAGCUAUAACACAACAGCCACCUCAUUUAUUUUAGAAGAGACAAGUGAACACACUGCACUUGGAGAAGUGUGGAUUCACUUACAGGGGUGACACACAGGUGAUGCCUGCCCCAGGGAGCCUGCAGUGCUCAUGAUGGUCUUACAUUUUAGGAUGUAAAGUGUUGAGUCUAGCAUUUGCCAUUCAUUGCUAACCGCUUCUAUGAUUCCUAGGACCCAGACUCUGAGCUGAUACUGAAUGAGAAAAAGCCCGGGGUAAGGUCUGGGAGUCCUGGAGAGAGAAUGAAGAGAGGUCGCUCGCUGCCUUUUGUGGUCGACUGGGUUUCUGGGCAUGCAUGGGUGUCAAGUUUCUGGAAAAGCAAGCUUCUCUAAAUUCAUUCCCAUUUUUCUGGCCUGGUUAAAAAAAAUCGUCUUCAUAAACUACAGUGUAUGGGGAACCAGCUGGAGAUAGAAAGUGGAGGCACAACAUAAUGUGAACUGGAAAACAGAGAAGCUGCUGACCGUCCUGCACAGGGUGUGGGGAGUUUUUCCUGAUCUAUUUGGUUACUUUUACAGGUGGACAAUUAUCCUCUGCCCCACAUGGGUGUUAAGGUUACACUUCAUCGCGCUGCAGGGAAUGCCAUGUGAGGACUGAGGGGGCACCAGCAGAAACCAGAGCGCCCUGCUGCUCUCACAGCUCCAUCCACUGCAACUGCCCACAAGUCAGGGAUCACUUUUUUUUUUGGCAUUUUUUCUUUGAUUUUUUUUCAUUAUCAAUCAUAUUUGAUUAGUAAGAGAGAAAAGAUGUUGGAACUUUAAUCUGCAAUUAAAGAUACCAUUUUUUAAAUGAAAAAUACUGUUUUAAAAUAAAUAAAAGUAUGUAACUUUAACAGCCUUUGGUGACUAUAUGCAUUAAUUCCUUGAACCAGCUGAAUGAUCCUUACAUAGUGAAGAGUAAAUCUAAAGUCACAUGCAGUAGGUGAUCUUUCUGUGUCUGGCGUAUGCAGUAGGUGAUCUUUCUGUGUCUGGCAUAUGCAGUAGGUGAUCUUUCUGUGUCUGGCGUAUGCAGUAGGUGAUCUGUGUCUGGUGUGUGCAGCAGGUGAUCUUUCUGUGUCUGGCGUAUGCAGUAGGUUAUCUUUCUGUUUGACUUAUGCAGUAGGUGAUCUUUCUGUGUCUGGUGUAUGCAGUAGGUGAUCUUUCUGUCUGACUUAUGCAGUAGGUGAUCUUUCUGUGUCUGACUUAUGCACUAGGUGAUCUUUCUGUCUGGCGUAUGCAGCAGGUGAUCUUUCUGUGUCUGGCGUAUGCAGCAGGUGAUCUUUCUGUGUCUGGCGUAUGCAGCAGGUGAUCUUUCUGUGUCUGGCGUAUGCAGUAGGUGAUAUUUCUUUGGCGUAUGCAGUAGGUGAUCUUUCUGUGUCUGGCGUAUGCAGUAGGUGAUCUUUCUGUGUCUGGCGUAUGCAGUAGGUGAUCUUUCUGUGUCUGGCGUAUGCAGUAGGUGAUCUUUCUGUGUCUGGCGUAUGCAGUAGGUGAUCUUUCUGUGUCUGGCGUAUGCAGUAGGUGAUCUUUCUGUGUCUGACUGUGUCUGGCUCUUGCUACAGUGUACUACUGUAUUCACAGCUUUGUGUCAUCCUUAAUUGGAAAUAAUAAACAUAAGCAAGGAAAUGGUAGGAUUCUGCAAACUGUUUGCUACUGUAAUUCAGGGACUACGCUUUGAAAUGAAAGCAGAAAGUACAUGUCCUAUUAGAUAGGUUUUUCUAGAUAAGCCAGUUAUAAAGCAUGUUUUUUUCUUUUCGUUUGUCGUCAAAAGGAAAGGAAGGGUUAGCAGUACACUUAAAGAAUAGUAUCAAAUAUACAAAUUCUCUUUAAACAGAACUCGUUUCUCUUGGAAACAGGGCACAUGAGAGGUACAGGUGAUAGAUAGUUGUACAUCAGAAGGUAGAGACGUGGUACAAGGAAUUCCAGGCCAGCUAAACGAUGCAGUGACAGGGCACCGUAAGAACAUGUUACAAGCACUGAAGAUGCUACAGGAGCUAAACAAACAAGUCUUCUUGGUGAAAUAAUUUGGCAGAUAUUUACAGUUCAGAAGAACAAAACGUCAAAAUGUAAGGCAUGAAAUAUUUCUUGGCAGACCACGGUUUGACACAUUCCUUCUGUCCAGUUAGGUACACGGUGGCUGGACAUGUUCUGGCACUUUUGUUUUUCUUGUGACUUAUUAAUUUUUCAUAAUGAUAUUCAUUUGCAACGCAAUUUGGUCACCAGGUAUGCUAUGCUCAGAAAGAGCCACACAAUCAGUAAAUUGGGGCUCAGAGCUAAUAAAGGGAUGGAACAGAGGAGGCUGGGGUCUAGCCUUAAGUCUCGGAUGGGCACCAGGCCGCUCAAGUUCUUCUGGGUGACUACCUCCCGUGUUCCAAUGCUGUGAAAAGG
rnacentral:lncRNA from 1 species